rnacentral:rRNA from 1 species
UACGAGGGGCGCAAGCGUUGUCCGGAAUUAUUGGGCGUAAAGAGCUCGUAGGCGGUUUGUCGCGUCUGCCGUGAAAGUCCGGGGCUCAACUCCGGAUCUGCGGUGGGUACGGGCAGACUAGAGCGAUGUAGGGGAGACUGGAAUUCCUGGUGUAGCGGUGAAAUGCGCAGAUAUCAGGAGGAACACCGAUGGCGAAGGCAGGUCUCUGGGCAUUAACUGACGCUGAGGAGCGAAAGCAUGGGGAGCGAACAGG